rnacentral:rRNA from 1 species
GGUUGCGAUCAUACCAGCACUAAUGCACCGGAUCCCAUCAGAACUCCGCAGUUAAGCAUGCUUGGGCGAGAGUAGUACUAGGAUGGGUGACCCCCCGGGAAGUCCUCGUGUUGCAACCCC